rnacentral:rRNA from 1 species
AACGAACGCUGGCGGCAGGCUUAACACAUGCAAGUCGAACGCCCCGCAGGGGGAGUGGCAGACGGGUGAGUAACGCGUGGGAACGUGCCCUUCGCUUCGGAAUAGCCCCGGGAAACUGGGAGUAAUACCGAAUACGCCGUAUUGGGAAAGAUUUAUCGGCGAAGGAUCGGCCCGCGUUAGAUUAGCUAGUUGGCGGUGUAAUGGACCACCAAGGCUACGAUCUAUAGCUGGUCUGAGAGGAUGAUCAGCCACACUGGGACUGAGACACGGCCCAGACUCCUACGGGGUGCAGCAGUGGGGAAUCUUGGACAAUGGGCGCAAGCCUGAUCCAGCCAUGCCGCGUGAGUGAAGAAGGCCUUAGGGUUGUAAAACUCUUUCGCCGGAGAAGAUAAUGACGGUAUCCGGAGAAGAAGCCCCGGCUAACUUCGUGCCAGCCGCCGCGGUAAAAC